rnacentral:rRNA from 1 species
CCUACGGGGGGCUGCAGUGGGGAAUAUUGCACAAUGGGCGCAAGCCUGAUGCAGCCAUGCCGCGUGUGUGAAGAAGGCCUUCGGGUUGUAAAGCACUUUCAGCGGGGAGGAAGGCGUUAAGGUUAAUAACCUUGUCGAUUGACGUUACCCGCAGAAGAAGCACCGGCUAACUCCGUGCCAGCAGCCGCGGUAAUACGGAGGGUGCAAGCGUUAAUCGGAAUUACUGGGCGUAAAGCGCACGCAGGCGGUCUGUCAAGUCGGAUGUGAAAUCCCCGGGCUCAACCUGGGAACUGCAUUCGAAACUGGCAGGCUAGAGUCUUGUAGAGGCGGGUAGAAUUCCAGGUGUAGCGGUGAAAUGCGUAGAGAUCUGGAGGAAUACCGGUGGCGAAGGCGGCCCCCUGGACAAAGACUGACGCUCAGGUGCGAAAGCGUGGGGAGCAAACAGGAUUAGAUACCCUUGUAGUC